UUACCUUUCUCGGCCUUUUGGCUAAGGUCAAGUGUAGUAUCUGUUCUUAUCAGUUUAAUAUUAUCAGUUUAAUAUCUGGUACAGUGCUACGGCCAUAUGAUAUAAACUUUGAUUUUUUAAGGGUAAAAGUAUAACAUCCCAGAUCCGGGUAUAGAGUUUUCAGCAACUUAG
rfam:Arabis alpina cultivar Pajares scaff_65781_1_contig_0, whole genome shotgun sequence.